AAUAAUUGGUAAAAAAGAAUCGACCAAUACAACAAGAGAGGUGAAGGACUUGAAAAGAGUUUGGAAAAAUUGGUCAAACAUACAAAAUUGAAGGAAACCAAUCAGAAAAUAGAAACUCUGCUGCAAAAUGUGGUAAGGUGAGCAAUUUAGGCAAGCUUUUAUAAUUUUAAAAAAAAAAUCAGUAGAAACUAAGGCAUUGUGCAACCAAAAUAUUCCAUGACAUUUUAUAUUUCAUUAAGGUGAUGUGGAAUUCUAUCAUUGUGAUUUGGGGUAUAUUGAUUCUGUGUCUGUGGAGGAAAUUGGCGGUGUUAGGGUCACCAUUGUGAGAAAUGAAGAAAGUGGAAACUCUGUAUGCACUGUGGUCCUAUGAGGAAGUACCGAUAGUAAAUUAGAUGACCUUGAAAGAACAGUUGAUGAUGGUGUGAAUACAUACAAGGCAAUGUGCAGGGACAGUUGUAUAGUACCUGGAGCUGCAGCUACUGAAAUUGAGUUGGCUAGAAAACUGAAGGAGUUUUCUUUUAAGGAAACAGGAUGUUUACACCACAAAGAUGUUUCAGCUACUGCUAGCUGCUUAUUCAACAAUAAGCAUUCAAGAUGCUUCUCUCUUCUUGGGAAUGAAUGAGGAUGAUGCUACAAACUGUAAGUUUCUAGUCUUUCUUGUGUUUUGCCUUGCAACAGCAGUACUUAUCUGAAUCAGAAUUGUAUUUUAUGGGGUACACGGUGAAAUAUAGGCCUUGUUUGGUUUGUGUUUUAAGAUAUU